AUAAAAUAUUAUUUGGGAUGUGGAAAAAAAAAAGUUACAGCAUGAUUGUUUCAAUUUUGGGGCUGUAACUUUUUUAGAAGCUUUAAAUUUUUUUUUACAACCCAACCAAUCAUUCCCUAGAUCCUUUCUUUCCCACCUUUUGGCUUUGGGAGUUCCAUGUCCAAUAAAUCCAACUCCAAUGUGUUUAAAGCCAUGAAAUCUAUAU
rnacentral:sRNA from 1 species